rnacentral:rRNA from 1 species
CACGUAGGGGGCAAGCGUUGUCCGGAAUCAUUGGGCGUAAAGAGCGCGUAGGCGGCCCUGUAAGUCCGCUGUGAAAGUCAAGGGCUCAACCCUUGGAUGCCGGUGGAUACUGCAGGGCUAGAGUCCGGAAGAGGCGAGUGGAAUUCCCGGUGUAGCGGUGAAAUGCGCAGAUAUCAGGAGGAACACCAAUUGCGAAGGCAGCUCGCUGGGACGUUACUGACGCUGAGACGCGAAAGCGUGGGGAGCAAACAGG